rnacentral:rRNA from 1 species
UACGGGGGGGGCAAGCGUUGUUCGGAAUUACUGGGCGUAAAGGGCCAGUAGGCGGCCAACUAAGUCGGAUGUGAAAUCCCCAGGCUCAACCUGGGAACUGCAUCCGAUACUGGAUGGCUUGAAUUCGGGAGAGGGAUGCGGAAUUCCAGGUGUAGCGGUGAAAUGCGUAGAUAUCUGGAGGAACACCGGUGGCGAAGGCGGCAUCCUGGACCAACACUGACGCUGAGGAGCGAAAGCCAGGGGAGCAAACGGG